UGUAGUCUCGCACAGAUGCAUAUCAAUAAGCGGAGGAAAAGAAACUAACAAGGAUUCCCCUAGUAACGGCGAGUGAAGCGGGAAGAGCUCAAAUUUGAAAUCUUAAAGGGUUUCCCUUUACGAAUUGUAGUUUAAAGAAGUGUUUUCUGUUGAGGUUUUGGUAAAAGUUCUUUGGAAUAGGACAUCAUAGAGGGUGAGAAUCCCGUAUUUGACCUUUACUUUCAACUUUGUGAUACACUUUCAAAGAGUCGGAUUGUUUGGGAAUGCAGUCCAAAAUGGGUGGUAAAUUUCAUCUAAAGCUAAAUAUUGGCGAGAGACCGAUAGCGAACAAGUACCGUGAGGGAAAGAUGAAAAGAACUUUGAAAAGAGAGUUAAACAGUACGUGAAAUUGUCAAAAGGGAAGCGUUUGACACCAGUGUUGUUUUUCCUGAAAAUCAAUUAAAGAACUGUUUAUGCUAAGCUUGUUUAGACUUUAUCAGCUAACUGUUUAGUUUUGAGCUUUUCUUUAAUGCACUUUUCAGUUAACAAGUCAACAUCAAUUUCUUUUGCUGUAAAAAAGCUUGAGGAAGGUGGCUUGAGAUUCGUCUUAAGUGUUUAUAGCCUCUUGCCUAUGCAGUCGGAGAGAUUGAGGUCUGCAGCGUAGAUCCUUCGGGGCUAAAUGCAUUUGUGCUAAGUUAUAGCAUUUUAUAGACGACUUGUUGACUAUGAUUUGUCUUGUAGCUUACUCGCUUAUGUUAUUUUACCUACGCUUAGGAUGUUGACAGCAGUAUAGACUGU
rnacentral:rRNA from 1 species